rnacentral:ncRNA from 1 species
CCAAUCCUUUCUCUGAAGUUGUGCUGUUGUCCAGUGAGUGUGUAGAGAAGGCAAGACUGCCAAUGCCCACACAACACAUCUGCUUCAGCUUGAGCUCUGCUUUAUCUUGCUGCAAUUUUUGGAAAA